rnacentral:piRNA from 1 species
CUUAAAGGUGACAUGAGGCAUUGCAAAGG